rnacentral:rRNA from 1 species
AUGCACGCUGGCGGCGUGCCUCAUACAUGCAAGUCGAGCGAACAGACGAGGAGCUUGCUCCUCUGACGUUAGCGGCGGACGGGUGAGUAACACGUGGAUAACCUACCUAUAAGACUGGGAUAACUUCGGGAAACCGGAGCUAAUACCGGAUAAUAUAUUGAACCGCAUGGUUCAAUAGUGAAAGACGGUUUUGCUGUCACUUAUAGAUGGAUCCGCGCCGCAUUAGCUAGUUGGUAAGGUAACGGCUUACCAAGGCAACGAUGCGUAGCCGACCUGAGAGGGUGAUCGGCCACACUGGAACUGAGACACGGUCCAGACUCCUACGGGAGGCAGCAGUAGGGAAUCUUCCGCAAUGGGCGAAAGCCUGACGGAGCAACGCCGCGUGAGUGAUGAAGGUCUUCGGAUCGUAAAACUCUGUUAUUAGGGAAGAACAAAUGUGUAAGUAACUAUGCACGUCUUGACGGUACCUAAUCAGAAAGCCACGACUAACUACGUG